rnacentral:rRNA from 1 species
AUGGUGAUCGUGCCAGAGGAAGAUGCUGCCCCGGACCGCGGCCUCUUCACCGACCCGCCGCCACCGAUCAUCAAGACCCCCCCGCCGCGCAAGUCUGCACCACCCAAGUCUCGGGCAAGGCCCCCCUCUGCUCCUGUGCGUCAGAGCGCCAGGCAGGCGAUGAUGAACUGCUCGAUCCCGGUGGCCGAGCGCGCCGCAUUCCGCAUCGUCCGGGAGCUGGGUUUGCUGGGACCGAAGGACAAGAUGACUCCGCAGGCUGCUGAAGCGCUCAUCCGCCGUUUCAAGGAGCCCCUGACCGUCGACGACAUCGCCUGCAUUGCCAGGCUCACUCGCCUGGACGAGGCGGCACUCCUUGUAGCUGCAGGCCUCGCCGGACCUGACGGAGCUGCCAUUGAUGGCCAGUAG